GGAUUCGGCUGGUUCCGGGUUGAGAGGCUGCGCUGGACCGAAGCGGUGGCUGCUAAGCUCGCGGGGCGCCGCGCUCUCUCAGCCGCCCCCCUGCCCCUCGGGCCCCCCUCUCUGCUGCCCCCGGCGCCAUGGCGUGCAGCCUCAAGGACGAGCUGCUGUGCUCCAUCUGCCUGAGCAUCUACCAGGACCCGGUGAGCCUGGGCUGCGAGCAUUACUUCUGCCGCCGCUGCAUCACCGAGCACUGGGUGCGGCAGGAGGCUCAGGGCGCCCGCGACUGCCCCGAGUGCCGGCGCACGUUCGCCGAGC
rnacentral:sRNA from 1 species